GUCGUUGUGGCCGAGUGGUUAAGGCGAUGGACUCGAGUGCCAUUGGGGUCCCCCCUCGCAGGUUGGAAUCCUGCCAACGACG